CAGGUGAACUGGACUAGAAUCUGGUUACUAGUUUUGUAACCUUGUGCAAUUUAUCUAAUCUUUCUUUGUGUCUAUUUCUUCAUCUCUAUGAAUAAUGGGAUAAUGGUAGUAUCUGCUUCAUAGAGUUGAUAAUAACAGAUACAUAGACAGAUAGAUAGACAGACAGACAGAUAGAUAGAUAGACAGACAGACAGAUGGAUAGAUAGACAGAUACUUAUUCAGAGAGACAUAGACAGAGAUAUAGACAGAGAGAUGGUGUUUAACCAGCACCUGGCACAAAGUAACUUCUCUGUCCCAAAUCCCUAAAGCAGGUGAUAUUCCCAUAAAGACUCUCUUUUCUCUACCCAGUUUUAUCCAGCAGAAGACUUUUUUCCCUAAACAAAAUUGGGGAUGGUGUUAGAAGUUGCUGGGGACCUAAAAUCACCAGCACCACCCUCAUCCCAUCUUCCCCAAUGUGUUAGAAACUAAUUGAGAAGAAAGACACAGGGGACAGAUAGAGAGUAGGAUUUUAGCUUCCUCACAGAGGAAAGCUGGAAAGCAUGGUUUGGUUCAUCAGCCAUAAGGCGUCCCGGGAGGUCCCCCUGACUUGAACUUACUCCCUGCCAAAACAAAGCUCCACUGCCAGAGAGUCCCCUGCCCAGUGCUUAGCCCAUAAUGAAGACAGACAUGAAGAGUGAAGACGGGCCUGCUAUUGGGGCUGACAGACCUGAAGCGGGUGGGACAAGAGCACUGUUCCCAGCACGUGUAGUCCUUUCUCCAAAGCUCACCCCAGUGCAAAGUGCAGACCGGGAUGACCAAACCAAUCUGAUUGCUUUAGAGCCCGCCAGGAGGGGACAGCCCCCCGUGACAAUCCCUCCACCUCCAACCUCCUCCCGGUGUUUCUCCUCUUCCUCAGCUCAUCCCACCCCUGCGCUCCUCCACCUGCAAUGUUCUCAUUAUUUCUGCAGGGGCCUUCCUUGCCCUACUUUCCCUAGCAUCACGGCAAAGCCCCUUAUGGCUUCUAUCUCUCCUUGGAGCCCAUCAUGGGUAUGCCAAGCACAGUUGUCACAAACCUGGGUCUGUGUGAAGUGGGACCGCAAGAAUAGAAACCCAUUCAGUGGUGUAUUCUCGGCAAACCGAAGGGAAGGCCAGGGAGCUGACCUAACGCUUACUCUACUGCCAUCUCCUGGAAGGAACGGGUAUUUCUUCUCUUAGAAUAAAGCCAAGAUCCCUGCAUUUGACCAUUUCAAUCUCUUUGGGUAAAAAUGGACCAACGCCUCCAUAAAGUACUAUGGGAAAUGCUUUAUUUGUAUCAACAAAGGCUCCCUUUGUUAGGGAACACAAAAAACACUCCCAACUUGUGGUGGAACCUGCUUAUUGCUCCCUGGUUCCCAUUCUUCCCACCUUAAAGGUGGCAAAGGUGCUAAAACUGGAGGCUACAUUCCUGGCCUCCAGCAGCUGGCUGUAGAGCCAAGUGACUGAGUCCUGAUUGAUGCAAGGUAAUAAAAGGGUCAAGUUUCACCUUCUAGGAACCCACUUUCCUCCUCCCCCUCCAUCCUGCAUCCUGGAAUGUCUUGGACCACGUAUUAUCUGUUGCUAUGUAACAAAUCACCUCAAAGCUGAAUGGCUUAAAAGAAAGCACAUUCCGCGGGGCGCGGUGGCUCACGCCUGUAAUCCCAGCACUUUGGGAGGCCGAGACGGGCGGAUCACGAGGUCAGGAGAUGGAGACCAUCCUGGCUAACAUGGUGAAACCCUGUCUUUACUAAAAAUACAAAAAAUCAGCCAGGCGUGGUGGUGGGCGCCUCGCCUGUAGUCCCAGCUACUCGGGAGGCUGAGGCAGGAGAAUGGUGUGAAAGCUUGCAGUGAAAGGAGAUCGCGCCACCGCACUCCAGCCUGGGCCACAGAGGGAGACUCCGUCUCAAAAAAAAAAAAAAAAAAAAA
rnacentral:lncRNA from 1 species